rnacentral:lncRNA from 1 species
UUGAAGAAACCAUCUUCCUGAAAAGUUUGGGUUAAAGUUCCUUCUAGGGAUGACUUGACAUGGCCUUUCAAAUCCUCGAGUACGUCAGAUUUCUCACCAGAAGACAGCUUAUAAGGUGAUUCCUUUAGCAGCGUAUCCAGAGCUGAAAUAGCAAGUAUCCUUGUCUGAGGAAAUUGACUUUUCAAAUUCUUCAAGAAGUGUCCUAAAUAAGAAACAGUAUGAAUAGCAUAAAGACAGGUGCAUAAAAAAAGUGCAGAAAUGCUGACUUUGAAUGUGCAAAAGGCUAGCCAAAAAAAUAUAAAAGAAAACAAAAGAUCCAGAAGCAAACAAGAAGGAUGUACAAACCAGCAGUUUCACUCAGGAUUUUAGAAGAUGAAUUUGGAUGACUCCGAGACGCCAAAGCCAGCAGGAGCAGAACUCUGUUAGCCAUCAAAUUAUACCUGAAAAAACCGAAACUAUCAGGUCAACAUUUUAAAUGUGCAAGAAUCUUAACAGAAAGCUUAAACGAGUUGACAAAUUGUGAAGCACCAAGUAAAAAGUAAAAUAAAUGAAAAGGAAGCAGAUGAGAGACAGAACACAAAUAUACAGAAGAACAACUCAUUAAUCAUGAGUCGCUAUUUUCAAACCAAAUGGAUGUACACUUACCGCCAAUGCAAGCCAGUAGAAUCAAAACUCAUACAACCAAUCUGAGAAACCAAAUCGGAAAACCCCAGUCCACCGUUAUGAUUUUCUUUGUCUGAUAUCCUGAAAAAGCUUCUAGGUACUCCAGAAAAUUGGUUGUUGUACUUCACAAAAAGCUGUUGGAAGUUUAGGAGAUGUUAAACAAUGAAAAGCACAUAAUAAAAUUGCAGUAAUCCGAUGCAGGGAAGCUUACGUCAAUAAUUGCUUUCUGAGAUUUCAGGGAUUCGUGAUGAGAACUUCAAAGAAGAAGCAAGGAAAGUAUUAUUCUCUAAUGUUACACAAGUUAUAGCGAUUUUUAUCUAAAAGGGGAAACAGAGAAAAUAGAAUUACCUUGAUAGAAUUGACAAGAUAAAUGAAGAGAAUGACUUUUGAUCCUAGAAUCAAAGAAACUAUGUAAGAGGAAUGAAAAUAUUAGCUGUCAAUAAAAGAAUUUUAAAAACCUAAUCCGUGACAAUCACCGUAGUCAAAUGCUUGAGAACUGUUUGUGAGGCAAGGACUGAACAAGAACCCAAGACUGUGUACUCCUUGGCAUUGGGGUCCUGCAAGUUAAUAGUAAGACUGAUGACACAUUUUGAAAUCAUAGAAGGCCAUCUCUUGAUCAGCUUCACUAGAGCUUUCUUUGCCGGCCUGGAUCAUAAAAGAAUCUUAAUCAGGCAUAAAACAGCACAGUAGUUGUAUUCAGUAAAACAUGUUAAAUUAUUGGAUGAGACGUUAGCUCACAUCCAAAAGGAAAGAGAAUCAAGAUAAAUAUUUGUAGAACAGCUAAAAGAAAUUAAACUUGACUUCUACAACACAUGAAACCUCAAAGUAAACAUGGUCUGAAUAUUACACUGAUGCAUGAUGAUAAGACCAAUCACUGUAUAGAUGAUUCUGACCGGGAGUUUCCAACUUUCAAAAUAAAUUGGUUUCAUUUUACUGAAAAAAUUAGUGGUUGACUUAACAGGCAAUGUAAGCAGUUCAACCUAAAUAAGAAAAUAUGAAGCAUCUUUUCUUGGAUUGCAACAUGAAGAAGGAACUAUACUUGGAGUUCAACAUGAAGAAGGAGCUAUACCACGACUCUAUUCUUAAGCACAUCAGCAAUUACAGACAAUAUUUGUAUGCCGUUUUCUCUUUUCCUUAUUAACUAUUGCAAAUGUAUUGUACGCAUUAUAGAAAUCAAAUCCAUGCCAUCUUAGACCAUUGGAGGUGUAACACUCUCUAAAUUCUAUAUAAAUGCAAAGCCUAUGAACUGAUUUCAUUGUGCUGUUUUCUCUCCGGCAAAAGAAUUCUGGAUUAUUUGUUUGUUCGUUGAAUAUCGUUAAUUACAUAGCUACGGGUGAAAUGUUAAAAUAAAUGCUACAAAGUAAACCAAUAGUUAACAUAUAAAAAUCAAAUAAUAUAAAAAUCAAAAUUUCAGUUAACUAUUGAUUCCUCAAUCACUUACCGGCGGACAGUUUCAUACUUAUGCAAAGCGAGAUUCAGUAAAUCAUCCAUCAAAAUAGUCACGUGUUCAGGUGGACAAUAAUUCCCACCUGUACGGUAAAGAUGAUAUGAUGCUUGUGAAGACCUCCAGGUAUGGUGCAUAUGCGCCUUGUCGAUAAGAGCCCACCUAGGUCUGAAAUGACCACAAACUCAGACUUAUCAAAAAGUUCUUUACAGAAGUUCUUGCGUUCAAGAGUGAAGAGUGAUCAAAGUAUUAGUACCUUUUCUUUCCAUUAGAAUGAGAUGACACAAUAAAAUUAAUUGGCGGUUCUAUUAUGGCAUUGGCAGCAGAUUUUAACUUCCAAGACUGUCUGUGACUUGACCAGUCAUCAUAUUCCAUACUUCCUGUGUUUGAAAAGGGUUCGGAAUUAGUUAGGUUGUGCAUGUUAGCGGCCAACACUCGAGGGGAUUUAGUCCCACAUCGGAUAGAUAGGGUUCUUGAGAAGAGUUUAUAAACAGGAGGCACUCCUCACCGUACAAGCCGGUUUUGUAUGGAUGAGUUAGGUCUCGAUAUUCGUUACAGUGCAUGUACAAACAGAAUUUGGAAUAAUAUGCAUACACUUGAUUGGAUGGAGAAUUCAAUACCAUAAUUUCCCAAAGCCUCAAUAAUAGCAAUAACGAGUAUCAACAGGAAGCUGUCGUCAGAUUUAUUCUCAAUGACAUAUCUGUUAAACAGACAAAGUUUAAUAGCAUUUCCGGAUUGAUCGAAAACCACAUACACAUAAGUUGAAGGGAUGAUGUGUAGAGUAGCAGUAAAUGUGACCCUUACUUGCAGGCUGCAUGUACAAUCUCAGUAGCUUUAACUCUCAGAGCAGUAGUUCCAACAGUACAGCCUGUUGCCCCAGCAAUUAGAAAUGUAUGGUUUGAAUCUUCAACCAUUCCAUUCUUAGAGGCUGGGACAAAAUCAGGCAAGCAAGAAAAAAGUCCUUGCAAAGACAAUUCAAUAUGUAAAAGAGUCACUUGCAAGUGCUCUUUCUCAUCUCCUGCAUAUAAAACUACAUUCAAUUUAACAGUUAGAAUUAUUAUCCUAUAGGAAUUUCCUUCAUAGAAAACUAUCAUCCAAAUAUGUCUUAUGAUAAAUAAAUUACUAUAUCAGAAAAAGAGGAAAACUCCAAGAAAACAGAAUAACACGUAUUAGCAUAAUGAACAUAGAUAAUUUCAAGAAUUAUUCAUAAUUAAUACAAGUCUUCGUCGUCAAAGAGGAACUUAAAUAAGAAAUCUUGCUAAUGAACACAGGAUAACUAAUUAACUUCUCGAGACAAAUGCUUAUUUAUUAUACCUUCAUCGGCAUGAAUUUUAGUUUGGCAUAUUUUCAACAGAUCAUCCAAAGCAGAGUUAAAGUGAAUGUCUAAAAGCUCGUUUGCAAAAUGAAUUUCUUCAUCACAGGGAAUAUGCCACUUUGGAGUCAACCUUUCAUCAGCAGAAAAAUCUUUCGUACUAAUCCACUCUUCUAGAGCAACAACAACAGGGUGACUAAGUACACACCUUGAAACCCAAAAAACAGUGUUUAUGUUACUGAAGAUAUACAGCCACGGAAUCGAGGAAAAAAAUACUACGCAAACAUAGUGAAAUGAAUGAGCCCUUCUAAUACAUACUUAUACUGCUCUAUUGGAUAAUAGGUAAUCUGACUUCCAAGAAGAGACCUAAGAAGAUGAUUAGCAGCAUGAUUAACCUGUCAAUGAAAAUAGCAAUCAAAUAUAGAUAUGGAACCAAUGGAGUACUACUCAGCACCAAAUUCAUGUGUAUUAGUAAAAGAAUAUGUAGAAAUUACUAAUCAACUCUUUAAUUUAAGGAGUGACAUAAUGAAAAAUAAAAACCAUUAAAAAUAGAAUAAUAAUAAAAGAAAACAAUAUAUAUUUCAAUAGAAUAAACAGAUCGAGUGUAAGACCUCAAAAGAUGGUGAGUCAAAAGCCAAGAAGAUAACUUCUUUUAAUUGAUCCUUGUAGCGGAGGAGUGCUGGACCUCCAUACCAGAUACCAACUGCUAAUAUCAUUAGUUGAUAGCCAAUUGCAGCUUCAAGAGCUGGUGAAAUUGUGGACCUAACCUGAAGUAGAGAAGUCUCAGCUUUCCAGAGAAUCCAUACGCAACAUUGAAGUCAAAGACAAUCACAAAUAACCAAAAUCAGGUACCUUGGUUGAAGCAGAAGUAUCAAAAGUCCCACCUCCUCCAAAUCCAGUGCCUGGUGUUCCUUUCAAAGAGGACGUCACAGACACUAAUAUUGGCUCAACAAGUUGAUUAACUGCUUCUUCCGGGUUUGAGUGAACACACGCACGACAGAGCAAUCCAACCUCUGGAAUAGCACCAGGAAGAAUGUUUGUCGUCACAAACUUAGAAAUUUUCUUCAAUGCCUGUUUGAUAUGUCAGUGAAGUGCAAGACAAUAUAUUAGCUCAGAAAAAGUUAUCUAUAUCAAGUAUUUUUAAGUUAUAAAGUGAUACCUGAUUGUAUAGUGAUUUUGAAAGCCUCCCAAGAAGAAUUUCAUGAACAUGGAAGUAGUAUAUACCCUCAUCAAAUAGAAAAGUUCCUGAUGAGUGCAGACCUUCAUUUCUAAUAUACCAAAAACCAGUUAUCCAAUUAUAUACAUAAAAUCCACUUAAACAACAUCUUUUCCAAAUAAAAUUACAUGCAAGAGAGGGGGGAUUUUGACACCAUUACUUACAAAACACUGCUGGGUUCUAAGUGUAACAGUAGGGAAAACAGACGGCAUAAGAACUCAUCCAGCCAUUCAGAAAAACGGAUCUUUGGCAUAAAUGAUAAAUCGUCAAUUUUAUCAUCCAAUAAAGCCAACUGCAUUUACACGGUAGAGUGGUUAAGCAUUUGUUAUACUAGUACCGGCAAGAAGCUGUUUAUUCAAUAUAUCUAGAACCCGUUUAUCCAAUAUAUCAAGAAGUUGAAACUCACGUUUGAAAAUAUGGAACCAAUUAAUUGCAUGGUAGCUAAAGUUUUCGGAGGGUCAUUAGCAUCCAUGCCAAGUAAUGCAUUAGAUAAUGAAACCCCCACAAGAUCAAUGAAUGCUUCAUCACCACCGCCAAGAUCAACUUGUUUCAUGGAGGAAGCCGAUACAGAUGUAUAAAAUAGUGAGCGCCCAACAAAUGCCAGACAUAACUGCAAUUUUCAACUGGUGGGUGGCAGUCAUCUGGCCAGGCAAAAUGAAUAUGGUCAGAAAGACAAAUUAACACAAUACAGUAUACUUUUAAAGAGUAUCCCUCAGUGGACAUAUUACCAAGAAGAAAAUAUUAUUCUUUGUAAUUCCACUGACUACAUAUGAUUUCUGAAAUUCUACCAUGAAAAAUAUUCAAUCAACACAACUAACCGUCUCAAGGGCCAUUUGAAACCUAGAUGCCACAAAUGGAAGGACCAGUGAGGGUUCCACAUAAGACAAUAUAGAUGUUGCUUCAGCAACUGUCUCAGAGAGAUCCGUAUUCUUGCUGUAUUGACCACGAUCAAUUAAUUUUAGCAUUGUAUUCACAAAGAAGACCCUCUCUGAUUCUCCAAGAUGCUGUUCAGUGGGUCUGCAAUUAUUUAUGCCCCUAUAGAACAGAGUUUUUAAGUUCCAUAAAACAAAAUAGAUGACAAAUGAUGAUUGAUCUGUACAACUGUUCAUUUUGUAGACGCUUCUGGAAUUGAAUCACCAAAUGAAACAAAAACCGCUCCAGUGAGUAAGUCCAUCGACCACCAUUUGAGGGAUGAUAGUAUCUAAGGGAAGGGGGAAAAAACAACAAAAAGGGAAUAAUUGAAUUGAAGAAAAGGCAAACUUAAUUAAGCUAAAUAAUGCAAGCAAUGUGUAAGUAAACUAACUGUUCCAAAAUGUUGACCAAUUUCUCAAAGUGCUGUUUCGCUGAACUACCAGGUCUUAGCAAAUAUACCUGUAAUUGCAAUUACAAAAGAUCACUAUUAAAAGUAAGAAACCAGCAACAUCGCUCAAAUGUUAGAAUCCCACAAAAUUAUGGAACAACAUAUUUUCUUACAAUUGACUUGGAGAUAGCCUUUGCAGGGGUGGAAGUUCUAUAGGGAAACAAGAACCUUGUGUCUAUUGGGACAUUCCGUGAAAAGGGAUAUGAUCCACUUCCAUUUGCAACAGGAACCUGCGAUUCAUGAGUGCAAAAAUGAGGCAAAAUUCAAAUGACUAACCAAAGGAGUAAGCUAUGGAAAUGAAGAUCAAUUAGCUAUACAAAUAUUGAAUAAGUAAUGAAAUAUAUACAAAACAUAGCAGAACAAGAUGCGGGUGUACCUACAGAUCAACUAAUCAAAACAGUUUCGCCAGUCAAUGCAUUUUUUGCUGUAAACAAGAAUUUAAAAAUGCAAUAGAUAGUUUUGAUAACAUGCUCAUGACUUCGCAGGAAAUAGCUGAUAGAGCUGUGGCAUUAAGAUCGCCAUUUGCCAUUUGUUGGAGGUAUGUUUGGAAAUGGAUUGGAAUUCCUACGUAUAUAAUAAUGCAUCUCAAAGUAUAUCUUUGAAUGUUUGUAUAUAUGCAUGAAAGUUGAUAGGGAACUAAAUAAAUGUGGCUAUUAAGAAGGGCUUUGCUGGUCUUGUGGUAAAAUAAUGUGCAUGUUUGUUAUAUAUUUAAAAAAAAUGGAUUUUUCUUUGUAUUUCUAAAAAUUACUUUUUUGGAAAUAUAUUAAAAAAUAGUAGAAGUUAUUUUAAAUUCGUUUUCAUAAUUAAUGAAGAGAUUGUGAUAUACAAUAACUUAAAUAUUCAGUUAGAAAUUUUAUAUAGUAAAGAUCACAUAUUUUUUCAAUCAAUUUGUAAAUCAAAAUGUGAAUAAGAAUAAUUGAUAUGCUCACCUCAAACAUAUUUAAGUAUUUAGCAAAAAGCAAAGGCAACAACCCUUCCCAAUCGACAUUGUGGUAAUUUUUAACAACACGAGCUAUUACAUCUGCCCACUGACUGUUCCAGAAUUGGCAAUUUGGUAUAGAUUCCCACAAGCCUAUACACUCUGUAAUCCAAUCACUGCGAAUUCAAAUUGUAAGACUUCAUCGCACAGGAAGUCAAAUCAUAUAUCACAAAAAAUAAAUUUCCUAACAAAUUUAUGCUUCUUACUGUGUAUAAAAGGCCUGAUUGUCCAGAUUUGUUGGGAGAAACAGUCUAGCGAACCCAGAUCCAUCAAAGGAUGAAUUAUGCCAUGGGUUUUGCAAUAAAGAUCUACAAACCAUUCAUUGACCCAAAGAAAAAUAAUUAAUAAGAAAUUAAAUUAAACAAAAUCGAAAUUCAAAAAACAUAAAAGUCGUAAUACAGGUCCACCUUUAUUCCACAAUGCAAACAUAUACAAUUCACUUUCAUUUAGCUCAGUGUCAAUAAAUAGCACAAAAUAAAUAAAGGCAUAAGGAGAAAAACUUGUGAUAAUUCGAGAAUAAAACUAUGCAGAAACAAUGUCAGAGCGCUCACUUAAACUCAGACCAUAUCUCAAAGGCAGAACCCGAUGGGAAGAAUCUUCGGCAGGACUGAACAAGUGAAGUUAUAGUUUCAAAAUGUCGUUGUCUUAAUCUCCAUCCUUCUGGAUCUGUACUUCUGCAACAAUGAUAUAAUUCAUAAUCAUCAGCCUAAAAUUAUUGAACCUAAUAUUAAGCAAAGAAUUAAAUUGUUCAAGAUAUAUAUUCAAUUAUGUAUUUUGCUUUAGCAACGGACUUCUUAAGUUCAAACAUAAAUGAAGAAAAUUACUUUUUUUUUUGAACGAACUAAGAAAGUAACAUUGAAAUCAGAGAAAAGCUUAAGUUCAUAACUAAAGAUAACUUUUGUGUUUCCCUCAAAAAAAAAAAAAGAUAACUUCCGUGUUUAUUUCUAAUUCAAGUUUUAAAUCACCUGGAAUUAUUUUCUUUUUUUUCCCCUUUCUUUUCAAUGAUAAAACUAAGAAAUCAUAAAUUCCAUAGCUAGGUAUUGCAAACUAUUAACAACGCAGAAUAACUUCAAAGUUUAAACCAGUUAAAACUGCAAUAUUGACAGUAAUUGUACAAACCUUACCUAGUAAAAUGUGUGCAAAUCAACGUAUCAUACAUAGGCCUCCAUUCAAUAGUCAGUGCAAUCUUUUUCCUAUACUUGUUGAGUAGCCUGACUAAUAAAUUUCCCCAUCUAACCUAAUAAACAAAAAAUUACACAUUCAUUUAAGAGCAAGAAAACAAGAAAACUCCAUAUCUCAUCCAAGAAAAAAUGCAGCACCUGAGCAUAAAGCUUAUUACGGGACAUGUGAAAUAGUUCAAGACCCGUCUGAAUAAGGGUCCGGACAUCUUCCAAAGACACGUCACUUUUUGCCUUUAUGAAACUGCACAACACAUAAAAGUCAGAUUCCCUUCCGUUAACCAACUCCAUCCAGAUACAACCUAUGAACGAAAAACCACAUAUCCACUACAAACAAUGCAAUUUGGAAUGCAAUGAAGAGCGAGUAGAUACUGAUAAGAAUCUCCAAUUGAAUAAAAAAACACUGAAACUAGUGAUAACAGAACUACCAAAAAAAUGAAACAAGUGUAAUUGUUUAUACACAAUAUAUGAUGUGAUAUUACAGACACAAUUAAACCCUGACAACACUCUCAAGCAUUAUGUGUUUUGAUUUGAUUACUCAAAGAAAAUAAUCGCUUUUCUUUGACAGGUACCAGAGGGAAGUUUUGAUAACAAAAACUAUAAAGCAACCCACUUGGGUUGGCCUGGUGGUAUUGGCUUGGUACUUUGGAAUGUGUUCUCAGGUUCCAUUCCUCCCAGUAACAAUUUCGGUGGGCAAGUACAUACAGAGCAAAGCUCUAGCUUUAAAUGGGCCCCCACAUGUGGACGGUGAUAUUGGACCCCUCGGAUUAUCGGAUACCAAGUUUAAAAAUAAAAUAAAAAACUAUAAAGCAUUGACAAAGACAAUGACACUAGACAUGAAAUUGACACGUACACGCUGAUGAUAAUUUAAAACCGAAGUGAUUGAUCAUAACCAUACAUAAGUGUCAGUGUCGGACAUUGUACAGUGUAUGCUCCUUCAAUAUAAAGCAGCAGUGCUACAUAGAACAGAAGUCAUUAUAUCUCUCAUAAUUAAACUGAACCAAACAUAUAAUACAACCAAAAUCAACAUCAAUUCAUCACUCUCCUGUUUGUUGUUAAAUAGCGGCGCUAUACCACUAUAGAGUAGCAGAAUUCGGACAAAUAACUCUUCCAGUGUUUCAUGAUUCACUAUUUAGUAAUAAAUGUUCUCAAUUAGCGGCUAAUGUGGCGCUAUCGCACUACUGCUUCGCUAUCCGCGAGCGACAACUGUGCAGUCUCCUCAAGUAUUUUUCACACUCAGGUAAUCAGAAUAAUUGCAAAUUCCUUACAAAACAGUGAAAAAAUCUUCGAACAAUUACCACUAAAAAAAUCCCUACUACCUAAAUUAAUUAAAAAUAAGCAAAAAAACAAAAAACAAAUCAAUUGAAACAAAAACACGAUAAAAUCAAAAUACAACAACAAAAAAGAAAUUAAAGAAAACGAAAAUUAGCAACGAAUGCAGAGACAAAAUUGAAGAGUUGAAAAAUGGAACUAACAUGUCAAGAACGGAGAUGUAUUUGAGAGUAGAAUAAACGGAUUCGGGAUCAUCACGGUUGAAGGAAGAGUCGACAUAGGCGAUGAUACGAGCAAAGGAAUCUCUUUCGCCGGCAGUUUGAGCUGCCACCGGUGGCGGCAACCAUGCAUUGUAGAGAUGCAUUUUUUAAUCAAAAGAGUGGUUAGAUAUAGGGACAGAGGAGGUAAUUAAUUGUUGAUUUUGUUCUUGUUACUAUGAUGAGGCCGUCAUUAGAUUCACAAGGUUAAUUGCUUCCAACCAUUUUAACACUCUCCAUUAGCAAGGUGAUGUAAAAUCUAAUCUCAUCUUGCUCAUUUCAUUACCACAACAUUUUUUAGUUAUGAAAUCAAGCAAUGAUUAUGUAUUUAUACUCUUUGGACAAAUGUCACCCUAUAAAUAAUUCAUAUGUCAAUGAUGCACAAGAAAGCGAAGAACGGUUAUUGUGCCUCUUUAACCGAUGUAUUGUGGCAAAUAGUUCGAAUUACUCCAACGAAAACUCAAGAAUGAUCUGGCAUAUGUUUUUUUUUUUAAGGGAACGUCGCAUAUAGUUCGAAUUACAAGCUGAAGUCGGAUUUCCCUUACCAACUGAAAAUUCUUCGUUCUCCUCUUUCAUCUCCUUCUUCUCUCUCACAACGGCGGCGACGGUGAAGUUCUCGUGUAGAGGAACUAGAAGACGCUGUAGUUUUCAAGGAACUAAAGUGUUUUUUGUAACUAUAUGCGUCACAUUUCAAGAUGUUGAACAAACCCCUCAGCAAUAUCAUGCAACUUGAUAACAUUUUGAGAAUAGAGAAUAAUCUUUGUCACUGUAGUAUCUUGCAUAAAGCAAACUGCAAUUUUAACGUAAAUAUAAACGGAGAGAAUACAUGUUAAUAAAAAAUGAUAAAUAAAAGAAAAAAAACAGUAAUUUUAUCAAAUUAUCAUUAAUGAUCAUUUCUAUAUUAUCAAUAAUUCUAUAUUAUCAAUAAUUCAUAUGUUUUGAAUAUAAUCGAUCAUUUCUAUUCUAUAAUUGAUCAAACCUAUUAUUUUAAAUAUAUUUGUGUUAUAUUUUGCAUCAAAUCUAUUAUUUUAUUAUAUAUGUAUAAUACUAAUAUUAAUUAAAAAAAAUGUUCUGUAAUACUAAUAUUAUUUUAACGUAAUAGAAAAUAUAUUUUAUGCUAGAAAAGUUUUGUAGUGGAAAAUCAAGCAUAAACAAUUGAAAAAAAUCUUUUUAUUUUGACUCAAAUAAAUAAAUAAUUCUUUUAUUGUCAAAAAAUACAACGUACAAGUAUCAGUCACACACAAUGUAUAGAAAAAUUGUUUGUCAAACUACGGUAAUAUUUGUUUAUGGCAUUUUUCGAAGACUUUUAAAACCUAAACCAAAGUUUUCAACUAUAUUUCAAAUGGAAUUUUUCAAGAUUCUAUGUACACGUAUUUGUUAGUGCGGCACGCCAAGAAGAAUCGCAACAAAGAACAACGUUAACGUAAAAGCUGCUAUCCAUAGCUUCUUAUUUUUUAUGUCAAUAUCACCUUAGGACGCAAAACAAGUGCCAAGUAGAAUAAGAGUUUUGGCUAAAAAUAAAAUGUGGACAUCCUACUGGCGCAAUAUUCAUACAUACUCGUUAAGAGAUGUGAGACAUUGAGAAAAUUGUUUUUAGACUUAAAUAUGUGAUAAGACCCUGCAAUUACACCAAUUUUUAUGUCCCUGCACUUUGUAAAUAUCAUACUUGUACUUGAUGUUAGACAAGUUAGUUAUAUUCAGUUCAUAGCAUCAACGGUGACAACAAGAUAUACACAAUAUGCAUCUUACAAAUUAUAUUAAUGAGUCUGAUGAAAAAUAUUUGGAAUAUACUUUUCACAUUAACACUGCAUAUGCUCCAUGGUCCACCAUUAGUCAAGCUAGACUAUUCGUUUUUAUGUAUUGAUAAAAAAUAAAAAUAAAAAAUCGUUUUUAUGCAAAACAGAAAAAUUGAGAAUAAAACAGUCAAGCUAGAUUAUUCGUUUUUAUGUAUUGAUAAAAAAUAAAAAUAAAAAAACGUUUUUAUAAAAAACAGAAAAAUUGAGAAUAAAACAUUAAUCGGGAAUAACAUCACCAAUUACUUUAACCGUAAGCCAGAAGAAAAAGAAGAUACUAUUGAGAAGAUUAAGUUUGACCAAUCUAAGGCCAAACAACAGGAACACGAAAUGGUACCCACAAAUAACCUUGGGACACCACUGCAGCAACAACUGCAAGUUUUGCAAUGCCAUACAAUGUUUACCCAACAAUGUCUGGGUUUCAAUUCAGCCCAUCAUGUUUUUGGCAAUAAAGGGGAUGCAUCACAAUGGAGCCAAAGUUUAUGUACUGGAAGCACAUGCACAGCCAUGGAUAAGCAAAGCCGGUUUCAUGAAAAACUUGAAGAGGAAAAUGGGGAUGACUCUGAGGCAACAAAAGAAAUUAGAAAUCUAUCCAAUAUGUUCCAACUCAGACUGUGUCGUGUGGGAUUUACCAGCCGAUGAUUUAAUGAACCCUAUGGUAUAAGAAAUAUUAUAUUACAAAAUAGAGGAAGCUUAGAAGCUCAACUUGUGAGACUGCAUUAUGGAAUAAAAUUCUUACAAAUAUGAUCAAUGGUACAAAAUGUAAACGAGCUAUUUUUACAAAUUACAAAUACACAACAAAUGAAAAGCAUAUUAUGCCUAACAAAUUUUCUUUUUACUUCCUAACAGUAUCUUUGGAUUAUUAGAUCACGCAAAAUAUGAUGAUGAAGAGGAUGUAUCUGCCAGAAUCUGUGAAUAUGGGGGAGAAAUAAACAUUAGGACACAUAUAAAAUAAAAAACACAAGUAAUAAUUACGUUUUCCAAAUCAUAGCACAAUAUGUUUCGUCUACAUAAAAGCUACCUCAAGCUGCUCUUCAGUGAAUAACUCUUUCUGAACAUUCCAUGUGUCAGCAUGGGUCCGCCGGAAUUCUGCAACAGCUUUUGUAACAGUGGAUUUCACAGGGGAUGGCUCCCCACUAAAGCGAGCUAGUAGUGUAACAUGCUCAGGCAACCAACUGAAAGUAGUUAUGCAGUCAGAUAACAACGGAAAACAUAGUGUCAAAAGAACCAAUAAUUGUGUAAUCAAGAAAAAAAAGCCGGUGGUUAAAAAGCAACUUAGGAUAAAAAGCAACUUAGGAUAAAAAGCUAAGCUUUCAAAUAUCUCCAAGACAAAGAUAACAAAGAAAGUGUUGGACAAACCUGGGCAUGUCAUAUGGGGCUGAUAAUACAGAAGCUACCAAAGCUAGUACAGCACCAUGAACAGAUGCUACAGACGAACCAGAGCUUGCCUUUCUGCAAUUGAAAAUUUCCCUACUUGAUCAAACGUGAAAUGUGCUAUAGGAGACGGGGGGAGGGAGAGAGGGCGGGCGUGGGGGCAAGAUGAUCAUAUUAGCUGGUCAAUUGACAAAAAUAAAUCAUGUUUGCAAAUCCCACCCUAUACACAAUGCAGUCCAGCCUACAUGUUAAAUAAUAUUUUUUUGACACGCUGGAUGCACCAUGACUUCACUUCUCAUUAAUGGAAAACAUUCCAGAGUUAAAUAAUUAAGCUUAUUGUCCAUGUAGAGAAAUCAAGUUUCAACUAUAGCAUGAAUAGCUUUUUCAUAAAGGUACGAAGUUACAAUUACAGAUAUAACUUUACAAGACCAUUAACAAUAGAUAAAGAUGAUAUUACAUUCAAAGAAAUUAAUCAGCAUUUAGGUUUUCUGUGAGGCCCACUUUUUCACAAAACAACAACUAAACUUCACAUAAACACGAGAAAAUCUUCGGAACAAUAUUAGUUGAAAGAAGUUACCUCGAUUUUCUCCUCUUUUGUACAAUAUUUGCCUCAACAUAAGCUCGAUCACGGAAAUCUUUAGCUAAAUCUUCAUCUCCACCUUUCAUUAAGCCUGCUAAAACUGCCGCAGCAUGUUCUCUUACCUAGACCAAAGAUUAAGUCUUCCAGAAUGAGGUAAUUUAAAUGCAGUAAUUAGAACCACAUAAGAUUAAAUGAAAAUAGAAACCAUCAAUAGAAGAAAUCACGAGAAAAGAAAGCCAGAACAUGGUUUCCCUAAAAUACGUGUUCAUAUAAAUUUGUUCACAUGAGGAACUACCACUAAAAACUAAUUUUUUUUUAAGUGAACACACUUUCUCCACAGGUAAGUCAUACAACUUCCCAUUUUGUGUGUGUGUGUGUGUGUGACGGGGGUAGCUCAACUGGUUUGAGCUAAGGGAAAUGGAGGUCCUGGGAUCAAACUCGGACGAAGGAGAAAAACAUUAAUCUAACAAACUAACUACUAGCAUUUGCCAUUCACAAAAAACAAAAAAACCAUUUGGUGUAUGAUCUUGCUUCAUUCACAACCCUGUUCUUAAAAGUGGAAAGAGGUUCCAGGCUAAUAGACAAGUAGGACCUAUCAGGUGAAAACUUCUCAACAAGCUUAGGAUUUUAUAUAUAGUACAGACGUCUCAUCCUAAAUCACCCAAAUUCCAAAAUAAAGGGAGAAAAACAACAUAGUUUGCACUUCUAUUUAAAGAGCGAGAGCUUGCCUCAACUUGGUUGUCUACUAGUAACUUCUCAACCGUUCUCCAAAUUUCUUGUUUCUUUGAACUUGAGAGAAUGAAAGUGUGCCUGUUAAAGAUGGGAACAAACCUUUAUUUUCAUCUGUUUGAUAACAGGCAGUAGUAAGAUAAUUAUGAGAAAUUUUGCGAAAAUUAUUACAAUGAAAAACUUCUGAAGUACUAUUUGCUUAUAUUUCAAAAGAGGGAUUUAAAUCAGUUGUCUUAAAAAUCAAAUAUUACCACAUGAAGAUAAAUGCGUAUAAGGACUCCAACUAUUUAAACUUUAAAGUAUGGUAUGCUGAAGCAAACCAGUCACAAGAUCAAAUACCUGUACAUGAAAGUACGCAGAUAUGUCAAUGUAGCGGAUCUCGUUCGCCAGUUGGAAUCAUUGGCAGAAGAAAGAAUCACAUCUAUGGCCUUUUGGAGGUGAGGUUCCCAAACAAUCAUCCAUUUUAGUAAUUCAAAUGCUGCCUUGGCUAAUGUUGACAAAUCCUUAUUUGAUGUCUCCUUCAAAAGAAAACAACAUUACUCAGAAGUGUGAUAACCGAUAUACUUGAAAUUGAAUGAUGAUAGAGAAAGGAAAUGAAUAUAAAAAAUAUUCUAGGCAAUCGUCCGCUUUUUGCACAAAAUGUUAGUACCUCUCUCAGACAGGAUUGAACCUUGGUUCACUAUGUUGUGGGAGUCUAGCCCCUUCUGCUAGAUCAACCCUUGUUGGUAAAUGUUGUCUAAUUUUUUAAUACAACUUCUCAAAGGUAUAGGAAUGUUAAAAGCAAUGUUGUGCGUACCCUCAUUAAAAGUCUUGCAGCAGUAAGCUACACAAAUUGACACAUGAUUUUCUAUUUCACUAAUCAUUAAUUCCAUGUAACCGCAAAAGCAUCUCAAUUGAAGUGUCCUGAUAUGAAUUUAGCAUAAUAAUGAGAAAUGGAAGCUUGUCUAUAGAAAGAAAAUUGCCUAUCUCUGUAGUUAAUACCAGCCACUAUAACAGCGCUAUGUAGGGUAGAAGCCUCUAGGCGCUACAAGAAUCCUUGUUGCAUUAAAUUUUUGAGCAUCAGUGGCAGAGUUUGACUGACUUUUUUGUAAAUGAUAGGUGGUGUAGCGGUUACUCCAUUGGUUUUUAGCUUCGACGCAGAGUUGGAAUCUUGCCUAUGGAAAUUCGCACAUGUGCCUGGUAUUAUGGUGUAAAUUCUUGUAUUAUUUCCCCAAACAUCGACGUAGCAGCCAUAUCGCUACCUACUAUAGCACUUCAGCGUUGAGGAUCAGCUGCUAUCCGCCAUAGACUACAUAGCCACCUACUAAUAUUUUAUGCAAGGACAUGCACAGGUAUUCUUGAACUCUAAGAACCUCAAUUAAGAAAUUCCAAGAUUUCAAGGGAUUAUACUUCAGAUUUGGUCACAUUCUUUGCCGGCAACCAUGUUACUGGUUUUAGGAUUUUGGUGGAACCAGAAUCUUGGAAGAAAGUUAUGAGCAAAAAUUUCAAGAUAUAUUAUCCUAUUAAUCAACUCCUGGAAGAAAAUCAGGAUUCUGAGUUUGGUGUUUUUACGAAACUUUGGUUAAUACCAAUAACAUAAUCUGGUGUCUAAACUUGAAGGCUUAAGAGAAUAAGAAAAUCAAAAUCCUCAAAAAAAAAAUCAUACAAUUUGUGAAAAUAAAAUACACAAUCAAGUUCACAUAAUAAGGGAAGAAAUUGGAUCAGAGUUAUGAAUAUUGUCAAACAUGAAGUAAAAAAUUGCAUAUCAUCAUAAAUACAGUCAAAUGUUUAGCACAAACCUGCAAGGAAAUCACAGGAUAAAGAAGCCCCACAAUCACAUCACGUAGAUAAGAGGAUCUCCCAGACUUCAACGAUGAGAUGAUAAAGUAAAGUAGCUGCAUUUGUUUGGAACAGUAAACAAUUAGUAAAACAAAUAGUAAAAAAUAUAAUAAUAAGUAAAAGCAAAAUCCAUAAAUAUAUAUCUCAUAUUAGUACCGUUUCCAUCCAUUUCAUAUCAUCUUGUGAAUCCCCGUCUAAAUGCCCAUUUUGAGAAUUUGUAUCUAUUGUAUUCACAGCUUUAUCUGAUUGAGAAGCAAUAUGAAUGUUCACAACUGCUUCAGCUGCUCUCUCUAUAAGACAAUGAACCCAACUUUCAUCUUUCAUCAAAUUAUCAGCAUCGUUGGUUCUCUCAUCACCCACAUUAUCACGAUGACUUGAAUGAUAUAGCCGAAUGUUAGAGCAUAAUACAGAAAGGGUAACACCUAGAGCCUCCCUCACCUGUGGCAUAUUAAAAUAGGUCAAAACCAAAAACAAUUAAGGAAAUGUCUACCCACUUAUAUAUUCAUAUUGCAGAACAGGGAGGGGGCAUCUGUUCCAGAGCCAAACCGCUUAUUCCAACCACUCUCUCCAAAUGGAUGCAUAUAGAAACAGAGAUCUUUUAUGUUCAAAUACUACCUACCAUGCAUUAGUUAAUAAAUUUAUGCAUGGCUUCAAUGUAAGUUUUUCUCCUUGCAACUUCCCCAACUAUUUUUAAAAUCAAAAUCAUAUACCCAAAAUUUUGUUAUGAUAAUUAACACUAACCCUAUAUACGUAAUUCCAUAAAGAGAUAAACCAGAGCACAGUAGUGUAUACAGCAGUUAUAUUCUCCGGGACAGUCAACCAAGUCAAGUGAUACAAUACGCCUUAAAGAUGUAAACUCAGCUAUAUUCUAGAUCAGUCUAUUUAAAAACAUUAGGAAUUUGAACUAUAAUCAAAUUGGCUGGAAACAAGGGAGGGUGGAAAGUAAUGGAUCAAAUGGAGAGUUAAAACAUGAUUGAUUAAAUAUAAAGGUUCAGAGGAAAUGCAUACUUGGGCUGAUGAGUGGCACAUAUUACCAAGAACUUCCUUCAGCAGGGUAUUGUGGAGCUGGAUUUCAGCUAAUGGCAUUUUCUGUGGAGAUAUUUCUAUAAGUGAAGCAGCCAGAAAAGCAUAUCGCUUGGCUGUUACAGUGGUAGCUACUGUUGGAGGUAAAGGUGUCAUCAAGGAAUCCAGAAUUUUCUGCCUCAAAAGAGGAACUCUUGUUCCAAACUUUCCUUUACCAGUAACGGCAUAUCUUAUGCAAGAGGACCACUCAGGAACUGAUUCAACAGAUGGUGCUAAAAUUAUAUUCUUCAACUGGGGCAUCAGCCAGCUUUCCCAUGCUCCUGACAGACCGUCAAUAUCAGAAUGCAGCACACCUGCCAAUGCUUCAGCGGCUACACACUGUUUAGACCUCUCCUUAGCAAUUGUAAACUCGUCUACUGCAUCUUUAAGAGCCAACACUACAGGCAUGCCACAUUCUUGUACUAGCCGCUUGAAAAUACGAGCAAAACUAGAGUAGAAUGUAUCACUUCCUAAAAAGGAGAUCCAACUUGGUGUACGUGGCCAUGAAGCCGAAAAUUCAAAAUAAAAACGGGUUAUGGAUUUGUCUGCUAAGCUUUGAAUACUGGAAUCUCCUUGGUUUCCUCUAGAAGCAGAUUCAUUGUCAGUUAUUAUGUGAACAUGAGAAAGACUAGUGAGUGUGUCAUUGAAGAAAUCAUCUUCCUGAAAAGUUUGGGUUAAAGCUCCUUCUAGGGAUGACUUGACAUGGCCUUUCAAAUCCUCGAGUACGUCAGAUUUCUCACCAGGAGACAACUUAUAAGGUGAUUCCUUUAACAAUGUAUUCAGAGCCGAAAUAGCAAGUAUCCUUGUCUGAGGAAGUUGACUUUUCAAAUUCUUCAAGAAGUGUCCUAAAUAAGAAACAGUAUGAAUAGCAUAAAGACAGGUGCAUAAAAAGGUGCAGAAAUGCCGACUUUUAAUGUGCAAAAGGCAAGCAAAAAAAGUAUAACAGAAAACGAAAGAUCCAGAAGCAAACAAGAAGCUGUACAAACCAGC